CCUACGGGUGGCAGCAGGGAGGAAUAUUGGUCAAUGGACGAGAGUCUGAACCAGCCAAGUAGCGUGAAGGAUGACUGCCCUAUGGGUUGUAAACUUCGUUUAUAGGGGAAUAAAAUGUUCCACGUGUGGGAUUUUGUAUGUACCAUAUGAAUAAGGAUCGGCUAACUCCGUGCCAGCAGCCGCGGUAAUACGGAGGAUCCGAGCGUUAUCCGGAUUGAUUGGGUUUAAAGGGAGCGUAGGUGGAUUGUUAAGUCAGUUGUGAAAGUUUGCGGCUCAACCGGAAAAUUGCAGUUGAAACUGGCAGUCUUGAGUACAGUAGCGGUGGUCGGACUUCGUGUUGUAGCGGU
rnacentral:rRNA from 1 species